ACCAGUGUUAUUGUUCAGAAAAAGUUCUCUUAUUUGUUUAACUACUUUGUUUGUUUGUUUGUUCAACAGAUUGGGUGGCCAGCUUCUGUGCAGAAAAAGGGAAAGCACUGACACACUCAACUGAAGAAGUUGUCUUGUGAUGAAACAGCACAUUUCAGUGACCGAUGACAGCAUGGAGAACUAUAAAUGGUUAUGCAGGACAGCAAACAUACUGUCAGGCAUGUGGGAGAAGGGCUCCAGUAACAAAGCCAUGCAAGGACACAUGGCAGGAAAAAAGCUCACUGGCUACAAUUCCUGUGUUCUGUGCACAAUGACCCCCAUUCUACUAACAUUUUUGUGAAAGACCAUGAAGCCAGUAGGGGUAUGUCUAGUUGUCUUCUCAGCAUGCAAUUUUAGUGCCUUCAACUGAGUCACAUUGUCCAUAGUUGCAGAAAUGUUACAGUUUUACAGUGUACUGACUCAAAUUGCAGAUCAUGCAUCUACUGCAGUUCUCUUUUUAUGUUUUCUUAAAGAGAAGGUGAUUUUUUUCUCAACCUGAGAGGAUGGCAUACUCAUUAUAGACAAAAGAUUAUUACAGUAGAUCAAUUACUCAUACAAGCAAAUUCAUUGAGUUCAAGGCUUGAAUUCUUUCCACUAAUGAUGCUCAUUACCUUUUGAAUUGGUACAGCUUUAACAUAUUUAUAUCAAAGGUGUUUAAGAAAU
rnacentral:lncRNA from 1 species